UUUAAUAUAAUAAUAACAGGAAUGGGGGAA
rnacentral:piRNA from 1 species